GACGAACGCUGGCGGCGUGCCUAAUACAUGCAAGUCGAGCGAGCGGAACCAACAGAUUUACUUCGGUAAUGACGUUGGGAAAGCGAGCGGCGGAUGGGUGAGUAACACGUGGGGAACCUGCCCCUAAGUCUGGGAUACCAUUUGGAAACAGGUGCUAAUACCGGAUAAUAAAGCAGAUCGCAUGAUCAGCUUUUGAAAGGCGGCGUAAGCUGUCGCUAAGGGAUGGCCCUGCGGUGCAUUAGCUAGUUGGUAAGGUAACGGCUUACCAAGGCGACGAUGCAUAGCCGAGUUGAGAGACUGAUCGGCCACAUUGGGACUGAGACACGGCCCAAACUCCUACGGGGGGCAGCAGUAGGGAAUCUUCCACAAUGGACGCAAGUCUGAUGGAGCAACGCCGCGUGAGUGAAGAAGGUUUUCGGAUCGUAAAGCUCUGUUGUUGGUGAAGAAGGAUAGAGGUAGUAACUGGCCUUUAUUUGACGGUAAUCAACCAGAAAGUCACGGCUAACUACGUGCCAGCAGCCGCGGUAAUACGUAGGUGGCAAGCGUUGUCCGGAUUUAUUGGGCGUAAAGCGAGCGCAGGCGGAAAAAUAAGUCUAAUGUGAAAGCCCUCGGCUUAACCGAGGAACUGCAUCGGAAACUGUUU
rnacentral:rRNA from 1 species